GACGAACGCUGGCGGCGUGCUUAACACAUGCAAGUCGAACGGAAAGGCCCUGCUUUUGUGGGGUGCUCGAGUGGCGAACGGGUGAGUAACACGUGAGUAACCUGCCCUUGACUUUGGGAUAACUUCAGGAAACUGGGGCUAAUACCGGAUAGGAGCUCCUGCUGCAUGGUGGGGGUUGGAAAGUUUCGGCGGUUGGGGAUGGACUCGCGGCUUAUCAGCUUGCUGGUGGGGUAGUGGCUUACCAAGGCUUUGACGGGUAGCCGGCCUGAGAGGGUGACCGGCCACAUUGGGACUGAGAUACGGCCCAGACUCCUACGGGAGGCAGCAGUGGGGAAUAUUGCACAAUGGGCGGAAGCCUGAUGCAGCAACGCCGCGUGCGGGAUGAAGGCCUUCGGGUUGUAAACCGCUUUCGCCUGUGACGAAGCGUGAGUGACGGUAAUGGGUAAAGAAGCACCGGCUAACUACGUG
rnacentral:rRNA from 1 species